GUUUUGUUCUGGGUGCUAAGAAUACAGAGAGAAUAAGACAGACCUAGUUCUUUCAUGGGAGUUCUAGACAAGUACGGGAGACAGAGCAUAAACAGAUGGGGAACCUGGAGCUGAGAAGACAAAUCCAGCAGGAGCCAGAGGGGCCUCUGCUUUACUGGUCAGGAGAAAGCAGCUGCUUGAUUGCCGGUCUGCCCCAUCACACUGCAGAGCUCUGGGUCACCAGCCUAAACCACUUAAUGCACAUCACACCCAGGUCUACUUGGAAAUGGCUAAGGCACUUAAAUGGAACGUCCAACCUUUGUCCUCAGUCCCCAGACCACAGGAACCCGGACUCCUGUCCUCACAGCUGGAACUUCCUCUGUGCACUAAUUGGAAAAACAUCCUCCGGGAAAAGGGGCAUCUUUAUUGAGUCAAUCUUUGGUGAUGACUGUGUCAACUGGCAAGAUGAAGUUUAUAGCACGGAAGUGAAGUCUCUGAAACCUUCCAGGCCUGGAUCCAAGAAGCCACAUUGACUUGACCCAACCCCCAGAUAGAAAACACUAAGGGUCACCUUAGUGAAGGGCUAGCUUGAGAGACUGGAUUCAAUCCAUAAGUUCAAGAGCCAUCCCAGCUAGUGGUCCCCAAUUUUUUUCCCUUCCUUCCUCAUUAACAGUAUCCCUGAAUAUUAGCUGCAAUAUUAAGACUACAUUUCCCAGACUCCCUUGCAACUAUAUAAAGUCACAUGAGGAAAUUAUAACUAAUUAGAAAGGAAGCAGAAGGAGUAUAUGGAAUUUCCAUGAAGGCUCCUUAAAAAAGGGGAAUGCAUCCUUCUUUUCCCUUCCUUUCCUUGUUUUUGACUGGAGUAUAGCUAGAGACUUAGCAGCCAUUUUGAACAGUGAGGUCACUUUGGAAAUGGAGUCCAGGCCAAUGGGAGGCAAAGCACUAUACCUUCCCGGACUCUUGCAAAAGAGAAACUUUUAAAUCUUUUUUAAGGCAUUACU